rnacentral:lncRNA from 1 species
AUGGGACAUGUUCACACCAAGAUCGUGAAGAAAGCGGCACGGGUGAUCAUCGAGAAGUACUACAUGCGCCUGGGUAAUGACUUCCACACCAACAAGCGCGUGUGAGAGGAGAUCGCCAUUAUCCCCAGCAAGAAGCUUUGGAACAAGAUAGCCGGCUACUUCACGCAUCUGAUGAUCGGAUUCAGAGAGGUCCUGUGAGAGGUAGCUCUUUCAAGUUGCAGGAAGAAGAGAGAGAGAGGAGAGCUGAUUACGUUCCUGAGGUCUCAGCCCUAGAUCAGGAGAUCACUGAGGUGGAUCCCGAC